rnacentral:ribozyme from 1 species
CAUUUUUUUUUAUUGUGAAUGUUCUUUUUUACUCAUAUGUGUGUAAUCCUAUUUAAAACUGGCAGGUCUUUGGAGGCAUUU